rnacentral:rRNA from 1 species
CCUACGGGUGGCAGCAGUGAGGAAUAUUGGUCAAUGGACGCAAGUCUGAACCAGCCAUGCAGCGUGCAGGAAGACGGCUCUAUGGGUUGUAAACUGCUUUUGUAAGAGGGUAAACUCAGGCACGUGUACCUUUCUGUAUGUACCGUAUGAAUAAGGAUCGGCUCACUCCGUGCCAGCAGCCGCGGUAAUACGGAGGAUUCGAGCGUUAUCCGGAUUUAUUGGGUUUAAAGGGGGCGUAGGCGGGUGUUUAAGUUAGUGGUGACAUUCCGCGGCUCAACCUCGGAAUUGCCUCUGAUACUGUUAGGCUAGAGGGUAGUUGCGGUAGGCGGAAUGUGUGGUGUAGCGGUGAAAUGCUUAGAUAUCACGCAGAACACCGAUUGCGAAGGCAGCUUACCAAGCUACGUCUGACGUUGAGGCACGAAAGCGUGGGGAGCAAACAGGAUUAGAUACCCUAGUAGUC